GUUUUGGCACAUGAGAAGCUCCUCUAAGAUGUGUGGGAGACCUGUGGCUUAAUUAUGAUCUGCCAUAAUAAAUAAAGGGCGCCAAGUUAUUCUGGCUGAGUUAUGGCUCAUGUCUGGUUAACCAGCCGACAAAGUGAUGUGCGGGACUGCAGGUCAUGACUUUGGGUGCGCUUAUGGCUUAUGUCUGGUUAACCAGCCGACAAGGUGAUGAGCGGGAAUGCAUUUCAUGACUUACGGGUGCGCUUUGGCAUCUAUCUGGCUUGCCUUAAGGCUGCGCCAAGCCCGGGAAUUUUGAAGAUUUAUGCCCAGAGAAGAGCCCUCCAACAUCAGUUUGCCGGCGUGAUACCUUAAGAAGACCAGCUAUGUUUUCCGUUGUCUGCUUUGACAAUUCCGAGGAGGUGGAGGUUGUGCCAACGCAAUGGUACAAUAAUGGGGCGUGCAGGUGGCCCCCCCACAAGGCUGAGGGAGUCAAUCGGGCCAUAAGGCAGCUGGAAGAGCCCCAGGAUAACUGGCCUCUAUUUGACAAUGCCAGGGUUUUUUUUUCUUCAGAUAACUAUCUGGAGUGUCGACAGAAGCUGCCACUGGCUCAAAACCAGACGGAUUUGGCAUCAGAGGUCGAAGACCCAACAACAUACCGGAGACCCAAAAGAAAAAUCAAGCCAAGUAGACACGUCCGAUCGGACUUUGAAAGUCAAGACCCCUGCAGUCCUCCAAAGAAACAGGCCUUCCCAAUCCUCCCUGAGGCCCCUGCUAUCGCUGGACCGUCCAACUUCAGGCGCUUCAUACUAGCGCAGCCCACUCAAAGUGGGUGUUAUGAGGUCCCUGUGAACAAUGAGCAGCCUCAGGGUUUUCAGCUCUUCUGCGUGACCUGUUGGUUAACCAACAAAUACUGAUGGACCAGCAAAAGACCAUGAUUCGGAUGAUCCAAGACCUCUACAGAAACAGCCAGGGAGGUCAGAGGAUGUCCACCACCUCCAGGCAUACUGCCUAUUUUCCACUAGUGGAUAAACAGGCUCUGGAGGCCCUGGAGGGCGACCUGGCAAGCCAGCGGGAACUUCGUCAAGAAUUGGGGGAGCUGAUGCCAAAGAUACUGUGUGGCGCAUUUUGAAACAGGCCAUCAAAAAUGACCUCGCCAAGAACAUCUCAUGGCGGGGGAUGAAUGGAAAGAUUUCAUUUGAAAAUCUACACCUGAAGGCAGUAGUGAUGGAUGCAGUGAGGCGCAAUCCAUCCUGCUCAACCGCAACAAAUGUGCAGAUUGGGGAUGCCAUUAAGAGAUGGUUUUACUGGGCUGGGGAUCGGGAGGGAGGGAGGAAAAAACGCCAGCCGGCUCCAAACCAGGAGCAAACUGUUUUGGAUUAAAUCUAAUAAAAAUGUGCUACUUUCAAAU